UGACCAUGUCCAUGUGGAUACUCAGUGAGAUAGGGAAGAUGGUCACGACCGGGCUGUCGAACCAACUCCGCAACCCUCAUCACUCCCAGAGGACCGGGUGCAGCAGCGGGACCAGGAGCGGGUGCAGCAGCGGGAGCGGGAGCGGCAUGAGCGAGUAAUGGAGAGGGAGAUGUAUGGUAUGAGCUGUGAGGCGAAACGGAAUCCUGAACAUGGCUGGAAGAACCCCGAGACUGGCUCCCCAUACCACCCCGGCUACGACGCUGGCGAGGCCGGAUCUGAUCAUCAUUAGACCUGUAAAUUAAAAAAAAACAUAUUUAAAAAUUAGUUCUAAUAAUUUUAAUUAAAAAAAACAGUUUAAAUAAAAAAAGUUUUAAUAAAUAAAAAAUAGUUUAAAAAUUUUAAAAAUAGUUUAAAUAAAU